UGCCUCUGGGUUGUGCUGCCCUGCCUCAGAGCCAGCUGACUAUGGACUGAAGCCUUUAGAAAUCGUGACCCAAAGUAAACCUGUCCUCCUUUAAGUUGUGAGUGUUGGGUAUUGCGUCUCAGUGACAGAAUGUGACUAAGACAAAAUCUAUUCAAAAUGGAUGCACAGAGGGCACAAACAAUGUGUACACUCACCGGUCAAGUCUUCUUCCACGUGUAAUAUCUGUCUCACAACAUCAGUGAUUUAAUUCUGGAAGAAACAGGAGGAAAGGCAGAAGGACUUGCUAGAAGACACACGAAAGCAGUUUCUUGAAUAUGGACCCAAGGAGAAGACUAAGUAAUGUGGAAAUGUUGGGCCUGGAGAUGAAAAGGAAGUCUAAAAGGCUUCCUCUCUGCUUAACAACUUCACUUAGGAAUGGCCCAAGAUUUAUGCUUUCCAUCAAAGAGCAACAGGAGAGUUCCAGUCAUUGAUUUUCUCAGAAGUUCUGUUUCUGAAUUUGGAGAAAAAUAAAUGUAUAUCAAUUUUCA